UACAUAGGGUGCAAGCGUUGUCCGGAAUUCUUGGGCGUACAGAGCUCGCAGGUGGUUCGUUACGUCGGAUGUGAACAUCUGGGGCUCACCCCCAGACCUGCAUUCGAUACGGGCGAACUAGAGUGUGGUAGGGGAGACUGGAAUUCCUGGUGUAGCGGUGGAAUGCGCAGAUAUCAGGAGGAACACCAAUGGCGAAGGCAGGUCUCUGGGCCAUUACUGACACUGAGGAGCGAAAGCGUGGGGAGCGAACAGG
rnacentral:rRNA from 1 species